AGCUCAUGGUCUUUGGUAAUAUUUUCCCCAGGUCGGCAGAAGAGAGUGAGAACUUCUCAGAAGAAUACCCUGUUCCCCAGACUCUGUUGGUAGCUAGGGGCGCUGUGUGUUUGUAAGGGCCACUGGAGACCUUUAAGAGUCAAGAGAGGCAAUUUAUCCCCGCAGGGUAAACAAAUGACCCGCAAAUGAGUUGGCUAUAAGGAGGCCCCUGAGUUUAGACAAGUGAAGGAGAAAGAUUUGUUCUGAAGAUGUCUGAAGACUCCAGAGAAAGAGCAAAGGCAAACCCAUCAAUGUGUUUCGCUACAGCCUUCUAGAGCUU
rnacentral:lncRNA from 1 species